CGGCGCGCUGUACGCGGCGGGGGGGUUCUCGGGCCGCGAGUUCCUGGCCUGCGUGGAGUGGCUGCCCGACCCCGACGCCGAGUGGACCAUGCUGGCCGACCCUCCCCUAGUGGCGCGUACCCUGAGUGAGCCGCACCCGCCUAGCGAGUCCCCGCUGCCCGUGUGCCGCGCGCUCAGCGAGCAGCACCCGCUGAGCGGGGCCGACCGGCCGGAGAACGGACAGAACGAAGCAACCGCGCAUAACUAGACAUCGUGUCCUUCUCACUGCAGUAACGAGUGACGGAGACGACGCAAAAACACGCUUCCGCAUCAAGCAAUGAGUAUUAUUAGGAUCCUCUCCAUACCAUAGACAACCGAGUUAUUGUAUGGUGCGAAGAUUUCGUGGAUGUUUUUUUGACAGCUGACAUUAUUUCAAUGUCGUCAUAUUUGUUUUAAAAUUACUGUUUGACACAUCCAUAACACUGGAUUAUCUCUAUUUUAAGACAAUGGAACAUAUUAAUUCGAUCGUGUUAAUUUUGGCGACUGGUAAUUUAGAUUUUCAAAUUACCAGUCGCCGAAAUUCGGUGCUCAUGGACAAAUUUAGAGGAACGCAAAAAAAAAGUCGCACGCAGAACGCAGUUGAGAUUUUAAAUAACGACCACGAAAACAUUGAUUUUGUGUAUUGUAACUCAGUUGUCUGCGAUCACUAUGAAGUAUCUUUAUUUUCGCAUAAUUUUUAGGGUUCCGUACCCAAAGGGUAAAAACGGGACUAUUACUAACUAACUCCUAAGACUAAGACGAAACUAAGACUCCUCUGUCCGUCUGUCACCAGGCGGUAUCUCAUGAACCGUGAUAGCUAGACAGUUGAAAAUUUCACAGAUGAUGUAUUUCUGUUGCCGGAACAACAAAUACUAAAAACAGAAUAAAAUAAAUAUUUAAGUGGGGCUCCCAUACAACAAACGUGAUUUUUUUGCCGUGUUUUGCGUAAUGGUACGGAACCCUUCGUACGCGAGUCCGACUCGCACUUGGCCGAUUUUUUUUAAAUGAUAAAUCAGACCUGUAUUUCACAGGCAACUUUUCUUAUAGAAAUUAAUUUGUUUAAGCUCCAAUGACUGCCAUUUACAGCUAAAUAUAUGGCACAGUGUCAGUGCCAUUUAGUAAAUGUUUAAAACGUAAUGACCUGUCCAAUAUAUUGGUCCAAUGUGCAUUGCUUCUCACUCUCACUAAGCAAAAUGUGAGACGCAAAUACACAUUGGACAAAUAAAUUGACAGUUGAAAUACCAUAUGUCAGUGGUUCCAUGAAACACGUGUUAUAUUUUCUGCAAUAUUGUAGACGGGGGAAUUAUGCGAAAAGAUGAUACUUUCAAAUGAGAGGCACCCGUAUUAUUAAUGUUUUAGAAUAAUUUAUUGUGAUCGCGACUUAGUGAAAUUGAACUCUACCUCAAAAUUAUUCGCGAGACGAAGCCUUUAUGGGCGAUUCCCAAAAAAAGUGUACCUAUCCAGUAUUUUUUUUGUGAUUUUUCUUCUCAUGAUUAACUAUUGAUUUUAAUAUGAAAUAUAAGUAUGCAUUCCAUAUCGACACGUUUUUAUAUGCAUUUUUUGCUGACAUUUUACAUAAGCAAUCUGGUACAGUGUUCAAAAUUACCUUGACGCGCUCUUAUUCUCGUCUUAAAAAUAAAGUCGCAAGAUAAUUUUGAACACCUGGCCCGCUUAGCAACUAUUGCUGCUGACUAUACCAAUAGUAAAAAAAUCGAGUGAGAAAAACCUCAAAAAUAGCUGUCAAAAUAUACACUUUUUCUCGGGAAAUGCCUUCACGCGUUUGCAGAUUCGUUAGAAAUUAAUGUGCCCGUAGCUAUAUAUUACCUACGUAUAUUAUACAUGCGUUAGACGCUAUGUAUCGUGUAAAUCCGGUCUCAUGUACAUGGCUUUGCUAUGUUUACAAAUUUUUUAAUGUACCGGUUUUCACUGUCGUAUUUAUCGCAUAAGUAUUUGCGUGCUAGAACCUCUGGGUGUUGUACACUUUUAUUACUAUUUUAAACGUUCUAUCAUAGAAUACAUUCGUUUUAAAAGACCAAUGAAUUAUAUUUAUUUUAAUUGCAAAGUAUAGGGAUCACGUCUGUACAAAAUGUAUUGUAUAUGGAAUUGUCGAUUGUCAUCUCAUCUUUAUAGAAUAGCCACUAGGGGCCUAUCGCAUAAAAACAUUAUGUAAGUAAAAUACUACUAUGUACAUCCAUAUUUAGCCGUAUUAUUUUGUAUGGAUACCGCCGCUAUAUGAGGUGCCCAGCUACUGGUGUAAAAGUGUGGUGUCACUUUGUCUGACUAUACUCUGAUUCCUUCUGUCAAAAGACAAAUCAUGUUAGCAUAUUGUAUUGAAUUUUAAUACACAUCGACGAAGGGCAUAAGACUGCUCUGAUACCUUUUUUUUUAGACUUGCAAUACUAAUAAUAAAUCAUUUUUAUUUCGAGUAACUUUACAGACUCAUAUAGCUUGUGUUAGUAAGUACUUAUAGCUAUGUUAAUGCUUACAUACUGUGAAAGUACAUGCAUUUGUAUAUAUCUGUAAGGACUUGCUGAUUGAAACAACGACAUAUUGGAAGUGUUCUUUAUUCUCUAAAGCGCUAUCCUACUCUAACAUUAUUGUUUUUUACAUAUAUCUAUCCUUAUCACUCUUACGGGGUUAUCACAUAUCGAUUGUGAGUAUUAUGGUUCGACCUGAAUAUCGACUUUGCCCAAUGCCCUUUGAAAUUUAAUUUGAAAAGAAUAUUUAUAUUAUUUUAAUUUUAAAUUUCACAUCUCUAUUACCCUUACAUAUCGAGUAACGUAUAGGUGCGUUCAGAUCUCACCGCACGCGCUAUACCUCGAAUUAUGUAGAACACUUUGCAUCUCGUUUUUGUAAGAUCUGGACGGAUCGGUGAUGGCACCUUGUGGCUAUCCUUGUUAUGUUAGCAUUGUGGAGUAGUGUUUAUCCUCCUAAGGCCCAAAGUCCUACCUAUAGUACUUCUUCAGUUCGAUGAAACUUAAGCCAUAUUCAAUUAGAACCGAGUUGCAUUUCUUUAGUUCAAAUAAAAAUCAACUCUAAUUCCAUGCACUAUAGGUUCAAAUUUCAGUGGCAAGUUUUGGGUUUUUCAUUUGUAUGGUUGGGCCUUAGGAGGGUAAGAUAGUGAAAAGUUGAUUGUAGUAGAGAUAUAAAGUGUAAAAUACGUGCUUUCUAGUUCGACAGCUGAUGAUGGCGUACCUAUGAGAGUAUACGUUUUCUCUUGCUAAUAAUGUAUAAUUAAUUUUAUUGAUGUGUAUAAUUGAUUUUGUUGAAAUGGCUUUGACUUUGUUUAAUACAGAGUGCCAUUUUACUAACUGUCAACUUUUGACAAUGUUACCGCAUAAUGUUCGCCGUGCAGCGCCAUCUUUUAUUAGCUGUCAAAUUCGAAGCACGAAUUUAUAUUUAGACUGCACGUCUAGUACAGUCGCCAUCAGAUAUAUCGGAGCGGCCAAGGUGCUCACAAACAUCUAAACACGCCUCUAUUGUCAUGGCGCUAGAGUUCAUGUUCAGACAUUUUUGAGUACUUCGGCCGCUCUGAUAUAUCUGAUGGUGACUUUACAAUCAAUGAAUCUUUAAUAUGGGUAUAGCAUGCGUCAAAAGACACUAAUUAAGUUAAUUUCCAGUUUAUUGUAUAUUAUAAGAGGCGGGUGGUGGGACGGAGCUCCACGGAGCGGCAUUUUUUUUUCUGUUUAUCUGAAUAAACUGCAUUUAACAGCAUUA